UAAUGAUGUAACCAGCCAUGUGCAUUGUUAUCAACAGGCUGUGGGGUUAAAGGGGGAGAGAGCUCAGAGACAUUGUAGAGAGUACUCAACAGUAUGCAUUUAACCACCCCCAAGCUCCACUUUCUAUUAAUUUAAAUGGGUAUGAUCAACAGCAUGGAUCAGAACAUUGUAUUCUACAGACAUUCAUAUUUCUCAGAGGAUAAAUCUUAAAAAACAAACAAACAAAAAACAACCUUCCGCCGUUUUGUGGCACUUACCUGUGUUUCCAACUCAGCCGAGAGUCAUAACCUCUUCAGCGGGUCCUGAGUCAGCUGCGAGUCGUCCUCCUGGUAGGCAGUGUCUGAGCUAGAGAAAAAUCAGUGAAGGUGACAGCAGUGGUCUGUGGCCACCACUUGCAAAACCAUCCCUGCUCUGGAGGUUUUGUUGUUGUCUCUCCAGUGCACCGUUUGUCAGUCUGAUUUCAACCAAAGCAGGAGAAAUGGAUUCACAGUGGUUUAUAUUAUAUUUAUGUUUCACUGAUAUCCCAGAGGUUUUGCUAACUUCAUGUUAUACUGUGAUGAUCGAGCGCUGCUGGAAUUGUUUCGAGUAGAUUAAUAAAGUGUAACAGGCUGCAUCCUUGCUAGCAGCUAUGUGCCUUCUCUAACUCUAGAUGUUAGCAUGUUUAUGGCACCGUGUUCAUCACCCUUGUUUGUAUAUAAGCUAAUAAAGCGUCAGCUUAUAACAGCUAAAUUUUGCAAUAUUUUGUAAUUUAUUGUGUUAUUUAAUUGGUGCUUUAACUUGUUAGCAACUAUUACGGUCUUAGAGCAACUGUGACCACAUCAUUUCCUCUGGGAUUAAUAAACUAUUCUGAUUCUUCAGCUGUACUGAAUUUCUUGAGUUUUCUUGAGUUUGACAGGGUUUUAGCACAAAGUGAACUUUGAUAAAUCACAUUUACAGUUAGAAGAGUAUAGUUGUUCAGGUUAGGAGAACUGGGCAUCUCUGCUGCUGCUGCCCCCAUGACCCGAAACCAGCUGAGCGGCUGCUGGUUGUUGAUCAAGCGAUCGAACCUGACGAUUAUGGAAGAGCUCACACUGUCAUGUGUGCCCUGCUCAAGUCGCCGCAGCAUACCUGACUUUUGUUGAUACAGCUCUUCGUGCAAAGUCACAUGAAUGAUGCAAUGUGGACACAAGCAAAAGACCAAAUCAAGCAAAAUCAUCCAUUUGUUACUGCUUAUCUGGAUCCAGGUCAUGGAGCUAGCUGAUCCCAUAGAUGCCCUGACCUCCCUCUAUCCAGCUUCUUCAUCUGGCUCUUCUGGGAGCACCUGAAAGCAUUCCCAAGCCAGCUGAAAGAUUUAAUCUCUCCAGUGUGUCCUGGGUGUGCUCCAGGGUCUCUGUUGGACGUGGUUGGCCUGAAACACACAGGAGACGUUCAGAUGUCUGAUCUACCUCGUUGGCUGCGUUCUCCCUCUGUAAAUGGGCACAGCAGUCAUGGUGGAGGGGUUUGUGAGCCCUGUGAUUCUUCUACUGUACUGUUCUGUCGGGUUGUUGUAAAAGCUCCAUGAAAGAUCUUUAGUUGAUCCAAGUCAAGUUAACUUUAUUUGUAUAGCAUGUUCCUGAAGGAAGUCAUUAGCAACGAUAAAGCUAUACAUUGUAACUGAAUCAAUUGUUAGAAUAAAAAUAUUCUUUAGUGCA